ACUCCUACGGGAGGCAGCAGUGGGGAAUCUUGGACAAUGGGCGCAAGCCUGAUCCAGCCAUGCCGCGUGAGUGAUGAAGGCCUUAGGGUCGUAAAGCUCUUUCGCCUGUGAAGAUAAUGACUGUAGCAGGUAAAGAAACCCCGGCUAACUCCGUGCCAGCAGCCGCGGUAAUACGGAGGGGGUUAGCGUUGUUCGGAAUUACUGGGCGUAAAGCGCGCGUAGGCUGACUAUUAAGUCAGGGGUGAAAUCCCGGGGCUCAACCCCGGAACGGCCCUUGAUACUGGUAGUCUUGAGUUCGAGAGAGGUGAGUGGAAUUCCGAGUGUAGAGGUGAAAUUCGUAGAUAUUCGGAGGAACACCAGUGGCGAAGGCGGCUCACUGGCUCGAUACUGACGCUGAGGUGCGAAAGUGUGGGGAGCAAACAGGAUUAGAUACCCUGGUAGCUCGAUGU
rnacentral:rRNA from 1 species